rnacentral:lncRNA from 1 species
CAGGGCUCUCUCUCGGAGAGCCCCGCCCCGUCACUGCGUUUCCCAGCCCCCAUCCAGCCCCCGGCGCAUCCCAGCGCCGCCGCACACUCUGCCAUCACCUGCCACCAGCUCCCGCUGGGCAGUAGGCACGGAGACCCCACCCAGAGGAGGCCGCAGCCUCUGCUUAGGGCAAAGAGAAGCCAAGUCCCCAGAGCCUGUGCCGGCGCCAGGCCGCCCCUGCCACCGCAGCCCAUCCUGAAAAAGCCCAGGCCUGGGAGCUGUGGACGCUCCAAAAAAGCCUGCGGCCGGCUCGGGGCUGGGCUGGCCAUCGUUGCUAGGAGGGAGAAUAAUAAACACCUCAAACUUGUCCCCUCGGCCGCCCCAGCCAGAAGAGCCACCCGGCUGGAGGUGAGGAGGGGAGGAGGUGGAGUCGCCGAGGGGCUGGGAGAGGCGAGGCGGGCGGGCGGCCGCGGGAAGCAGAGGGAACGGAGGCCGGGAGAGGAGGCAGCGACGGCGGCGGCGAAGGGAAAUGAGGAGAGAGGGAGGAGGAGGAGGAAGACGGAGGGAGGGACCGCGGGAGGAGAGACCAGGCCGGGAGGCGGCCGGGCGGGAGCGCCGGGCCCGGAGGGGGAGGGAGCGGCGCCUUCUCCUGAAUCAGCGCUCGCCGGGGGCGGCCAUGGCCGAGCCGGUGCCUGGGCGGGGACCCCGGCACCCGGGCCUGCGCCCCCCUCUCCAGGCCGCGGAGACGCGCUCCGGGCGGCUCCUCCCGGCCUGGCGGAGACCUCGGCCGCCUCCGAGCCGGCGGGGACCGGCCUGGCCAGGUGCGCCGGCGGCCCCCUAGCCCCGCGCCUUUGUCCGGUCCCGCCGGGCCCCGCGCCCCUGCCCCCUGUCCCCUGCCCCGUCCCCGCAGGCGCGCAGGUGCGGGCGAGGGAGGCCCCGGCGCCGCGGGCACAGGGCGGCGCGUCUUACCUGCGGCUCGGCCCCGGCUCGUCCCGGCUCGGCCCCUGCCCUCCCGCCCGGCCCGCCGAGCGCUGGGCGGGGCCGCCGCCUAGGACAUGCCCGGCGCGGCCCGCACGCUCGCGGCAGCCCCGGCCGAGCCCACGCGCAGAGCGGCGGCCCGCGGCCUCGCGCGGCGGGUCCCUGACGUCUGCGGCGCCCGCCCCGCCCCGCCCCGCCCCGCCCCGCCCCGCCCCGCCCGCCCGGUCCAGCCCCGCCCCCGCCCCGCCCCGGUCCGGUCCAGCCCCGCCCCCGACCCCCGGAAAUCCAGGUUAG